GACGAACGCUGGCGGCGUGCCUAAUACAUGCAAGUAGAACGCAGUUGCGAACGGGUGAGUAACGCGUAGGUAACUGCCUCAUAGCGGGGGAUAACUAUUGGAAACGAUAGCUAAUACCGCAUACUGUGAGAUGGACCUGCGUUGUAUUAGCUAGUUGGUGAGGUAAAGGCUCACCAAGGCGACGAUACAUAGCCGACCUGAGAGGGGGAACAGACACACUGGAACUGAGACAGGGUACAGACUCCUAGGGGAGGCAGCAGUGGGGAAUAUGGGACAAGGGGCGAAAGCCGGAUCCAGACAUGCCGCGUGGGUGAAGAAGGUCUACGGAUUGAAAAGCACUUUAAGUUGGGAGGCGUUAACAACAGAAUAAGCACCGGCUAACUUCGUGCCAGCCGCCGCGGUAAUAC
rnacentral:rRNA from 1 species